GAUGAACGCUAGCUACAGGCUUAACACAUGCAAGUCGAGGGGAAACGACAUCGAAAGCUUGCUUUUGAUGGGCGUCGACCGGCGCACGGGUGAGUAACGCGUAUCCAACCUGCCCACCACUUGGGGAUAACCUUGCGAAAGUAAGACUAAUACCCAAUGAUAUCUCUAGAAGACAUCUGAAAGAGAUUAAAGAUUUAUCGGUGAUGGAUGGGGAUGCGUCUGAUUAGCUUGUUGGCGGGGUAACGGCCCACCAAGGCGACGAUCAGUAGGGGUUCUGAGAGGAAGUUCGCCAAGAUUGGAACUGAGACACGGUCCAAACUGCUGCGGGAGGCAGCAGUGAGGAAUAUUGGUCAAUGGGCGGGAGCCUGAACCAGCCAAGUAGCGUGCAGGAUGACGGCCCUAUGGGUUGUAAACUGCUUUUAUAAGGGAAUAAAGUGAGCCUCGUGAGGCUUUUUGCAUGUACCUUAUGAAUAAGGACUGGCUAAUUCCGUGCCAGCCGCCGCGGUAA
rnacentral:rRNA from 1 species